UACGUAGGGUGCGAGCGUUGUCCGGAUUUAUUGGGCGUAAAGAGCUUGUAGGCGGCUCGUCACGUCGGGUGUGAAAACUCGCGGCUCAACCGCGAGCCUGCACCCGAUACGGGCGAGCUAGAGUUCGGCAGGGGAGACUGGAAUUCCCGGUGUAGCGGUGAAAUGCGCAGAUAUCGGGAAGAACACCCGUGGCGAAGGCGGCUCUCUGGGACGGUACUGACGCUGAGACGCGAAAGCGUGGGGAGCGAACAGG
rnacentral:rRNA from 1 species